UACGUAGGGUGCGAGCGUUAAUCGGAAUUACUGGGCGUAAAGCGUACGUAGGCGGUUCGUUAAGUUCGUUGUGAAAGCCCCGGGCUCAACCUGGGAAUGGCAAUGGAAACUGGCGGGCUGGAGUAUGGCAGAGGGGGGUGGAAUUCCGCGUGUAGCAGUGAAAUGCGUAGAGAUGCGGAGGAACACCGAUGGCGAAGGCAGCCCCCUGGGCCAACACUGACGCUCAGGCACGAAAGCGUGGGGAGCAAACAGG
rnacentral:rRNA from 1 species